rnacentral:rRNA from 1 species
GGUUAAGCGACUAAGCGUACACGGUGGAUGCCCUGGCAGUCAGAGGCGAUGAAGGGCGUGCUAAUCUGCGAUAAGCGCCGGUAAGGUGAUAUGAACCGUUAUAACCGGCGAUACCCGAAUGGGGAAACCCAGUGUGAUUCGUCACACUAUCAUUAACUGAAUCCAUAGGUUAAUGAGGCGAACCGGGGGAACUGAAACAUCUAAGUACCCCGAGGAAAAGAAAUCAACCGAGAUUCCCCCAGUAGCGGCGAGCGAACGGGGAGGAGCCCAGAGCCUGAAUCAGCAUGUGUGUUAGUGGAAGCGUCUGGAAAGGCGCGCGAUACAGGGUGACAGCCCCGUACACAAAAGCGCAUGUGCUGUGAGCUCGAUGAGUAGGGCGGGACACGUGGUAUCCUGUCUGAAUAUGGGGGGACCAUCCUCCAAGGCUAAAUACUCCUGACUGACCGAUAGUGAACCAGUACCGUGAGGGAAAGGCGAAAAGAACCCCGGCGAGGGGAGUGAAAAAGAACCUGAAACCGUGUACGUACAAGCAGUGGGAGCACCCUUUGGGGUGUGACUGCGUACCUUUUGUAUAAUGGGUCAGCGACUUAUAUUCUGUAGCAAGGUUAACCGUAUAGGGGAGCCGGAGGGAAACCGAGUCUUAACCGGGCGUUAAGUUGCAGGGUAUAGACCCGAAACCCGGUGAUCUAGCCAUGGGCAGGUUGAAGGUUGGGUAACACUAACUGGAGGACCGAACCGACUAAUGUUGAAAAAUUAGCGGAUGACCUGUGGCUGGGGGUGAAAGGCCAAUCAAACCGGGAGAUAGCUGGUUCUCCCCGAAAGCUAUUUAGGUAGCGCCUCGUGAACUCAUCUCCGGGGGUAGAGCACUGUUUCGGCUAGGGGGCCAUCCCGGCUUACCAACCCGAUGCAAACUGCGAAUACCGGAGAAUGUUAUCACGGGAGACACACGGCGGGUGCUAACGUCCGUCGUGAAGAGGGAAACAACCCAGACCGCCAGCUAAGGUCCCAAAGUCAUGGUUAAGUGGGAAACGAUGUGGGAAGGCCCAGACAGCCAGGAUGUUGGCUUAGAAGCAGCCAUCAUUUAAAGAAAGCGUAAUAGCUCACUGGUCGAGUCGGCCUGCGCGGAAGAUGUAACGGGGCUAAACCAUGCACCGAAGCUGCGGCAGCGACGCUGAUGCGUUGUUGGGUAGGGGAGCGUUCUGUAAGCCUGCGAAGGUGGCCUGUGAGGGUUGCUGGAGGUAUCAGAAGUGCGAAUGCUGACAUAAGUAACGAUAAAGCGGGUGAAAAGCCCGCUCGCCGGAAGACCAAGGGUUCCUGUCCAACGUUAAUCGGGGCAGGGUGAGUCGACCCCUAAGGCGAGGCCGAAAGGCGUAGUCGAUGGGAAACGGGUUAAUAUUCCCGUACUUGGUGUUACUGCGAAGGGGGGACGGAGAAGGCUAUGUUGGCCGGGCGACGGUUGUCCCGGUUUAAGCGUGUAGGUGUGUGUUCCAGGUAAAUCCGGUUCACUUUAACACUGAGGCGUGAUGACGAGGCACUACGGUGCUGAAGCAACAAAUGCCCUGCUUCCAGGAAAAGCCUCUAAGCAUCAGGUAACAUCAAAUCGUACCCCAAACCGACACAGGUGGUCAGGUAGAGAAUACCAAGGCGCUUGAGAGAACUCGGGUGAAGGAACUAGGCAAAAUGGUGCCGUAACUUCGGGAGAAGGCACGCUGACA